rnacentral:rRNA from 1 species
UGGGGAAUAUUGGACAAUGGGCGGAAGCCUGAUCCAGCAACGCCGCGUGAGGGAUGACGGCCUUCGGGUUGUAAACCUCUUUCAGUACCGACGAAGCGAAAGUGACGGUAGGUACAGAAGAAGGACCGGCCAACUACGUGCCAGCAGCCGCGGUAAUACGUAGGGUCCGAGCGUUGUCCGGAAUUAUUGGGCGUAAAGGGCUCGUAGGCGGUUUGUCGCGUCGGGAGUGAAAACAGCGGGCUUAACUCGUUGCUUGCUUUCGAUACGGGCAGACUAGAGGUAUGCAGGGGAGAAUGGAAUUCCUGGUGUAGCGGUGAAAUGCGCAGAUAUCAGGAGGAACACCGGUGGCGAAGGCGGUUCUCUGGGCAUUACCUGACGCUGAGGAGCGAAAGUGUGGGGAGCGAACAGGAUUAGAUACCCUGGUAGUCCACACCGUAAACGUUGGGCGCUAGGUGUGGGGUCCUUUCCACGGAUUCCGUGCCGUAGCUAACGCAUUAAGCGCCCCGCCUGGGGAGUACGGCCGCAAGGCU